AUUGAACGCUGGCGGCAUGCCUUACACAUGCAAGUCGAACGGUAACAGGUCUUCGGAUGCUGACGAGUGGCGAACGGGUGAGUAAUACAUCGGAACGUGCCUAGUAGUGGGGGAUAACUACUCGAAAGAGUGGCUAAUACCGCAUGAGAUCUACGGAUGAAAGCAGGGGAUCGCAAGACCUUGUGCUACUAGAGCGGCCGAUGGCAGAUUAGGUAGUUGGUGGGAUAAAAGCUUACCAAGCCGACGAUCUGUAGCUGGUCUGAGAGGACGAUCAGCCACACUGGGACUGAGACACGGCCCAGACUCCUACGGGAGGCAGCAGUGGGGAAUUUUGGACAAUGGGCGCAAGCCUGAUCCAGCAAUGCCGCGUGCAGGAUGAAGGCCUUCGGGUUGUAAACUGCUUUUGUACGGAACGAAAAGCCCUGGGUUAAUACCCUGGGGUCAUGACGGUACCGUAAGAAUAAGCACCGGCUAACUACGUGCCAGCCGCCGCGGUAAAAC
rnacentral:rRNA from 1 species